rnacentral:lncRNA from 1 species
UGUAUUUAAAGUAGCAAUUUUAUUUGAGUUAAAAUUAUUUACAAAAACCCAAAGACAUACUUCAUGAAACUGGUACAAACUAUUUUUUCCUGCCGUUGGCUUUUGCUCCAAAGAUCACAGCUGAGAAAUACUGUAUAAAAUAAAAAUAGGAUUGGAUUCAGAAAAGUAUCCUACUGUUCUAAUAUCCAACUGGUAGUAUUUACAGAAAUAUUUACAAUGGAAAAAAGGUUACCUUAAAACUUUAGUUAAUUUGCAAGUCAGCCUCAAGUACCCUAAAAUGAGAGUUCUCUGAGGGUUAAAAACACAGAAAUGCACUGCAGUUGGUAAGGUGAGAUCUUCCUCACAACCCACACCCACCAAAACCUGCAUCUCUAUCAGUGCUUGACAAUUAGUUAGUAUUUUUAAAACAAAACAAAAACUGUUAAACACUGAGGUAAAUCAAUUAUCAAAUGAUCACCAGUGUAACAGAAAAAAUGUAAUUCGCCCUGAUUGAUCUCGUCCAACUAUUUACUGUUCUGUUCCUUACCAUCUGCCACAGUCAAAAAUCUGCUCCCCAAAUCCAAUGAUUAAUAAAUAUCAAUGUACUUUAAAACAAUUAAUUAAAAUAUAUCUAAGGAAAUUUGUGGACAUCAUUUACCAGUAUGCUUUAAAAGAAAAAAGUUCACUAAAUUAGUUUGGUACUCAGGGCAAAUACAGUCUCAAUGGUUCCCACAUUACACUGGCAUACUGUGUUCCAAAAAGGUGAUGGGUAGGGUUUGGGUGGGUAGAAGGAAGAAAACA